GACAGAGGGUGCAAACGUUGUUCGGAAUUACUGGGCGUAAAGCGUGUGUAGGCGGCUAGGUAAGUCGGAUGUGAAAGCCCCAGGCUCAACCUGGGAAGUGCACUCGAUACUGCUUAGCUCGAGUACUGGAGAGGUUGGUGGAAUUCUCGGUGUAGAGGUGAAAUUCGUAGAUAUCGAGAGGAACACCGGUGGCGAAGGCGGCCAACUGGACAGAUACUGACGCUGAGAUACGAAAGCGUGGGGAGCAAAUAGG
rnacentral:rRNA from 1 species